AUUAGUUAUUUUCUUGAAACUUAAAAAAUUUGGCGGUAUUUUAGUCUUUUCAGAGGAACCUGUUUUUUAAUCGAUAAUCCACGAUGGACCUCACUUAAUUUAGUUUUCAGUUUGUAUAUCGCCGUUAUUUGAAUUUUUUAUUAGGAUGUUAAUUUUCAAUUUUUUAUAUCAGAUUAUAUGUCAGGUCAAGGUGCAGCUUAUAGUUAAGAAUUUAAUGGGUUACAUUAUUUUUAUUUGCGGAUUUUUGAUUGAAAAUUUUUCUUGAAGGUGGAUUUGAUAGUAAAUUUUAAUAGAUAUUAAUGUUGAUUUUGGCUCUAAAAUAUGCACACAUCGCCCGUCACUCUUAUUAUUAAUAUAAGAUAAGUCGUAACAUAGUAGGUGUACCGGAAGGUGUACCUGGAAUGUCAAUUUAAAACUUGUUAAGUUAAGUAUUUCAUUUACACUGAAACUGUUGUUGUGCGAUUCAACAUAAAUUGAUUUUUAUUUAAUUAAUUAUUUUUUUUUGUUAUUAUUAUUUGUGAAAAGUAAUUUUUUUUGUCUUAGUUUAUUAUAUAAUUGAUAUUUUUAUUAAUAGUUUAUUAGUAUAGUGUUAGAAUU
rnacentral:rRNA from 1 species